rnacentral:rRNA from 1 species
CCUANGGGGGCAGCAGUAGGGAAUAUUGGACAAUGGGCGCAAGCCUGAUCCAGCCAUCCCGCGUGAAGGAUUAAGGUCCUAUGGAUUGUAAACUUCUUUUCUCUGGGAAUAAAAAGUGGGAUUCAUUCCCGCCUUGAAGGUACCAGAGGAAUAAGCACCGGCUAACUCCGUGCCAGCAGCCGCGGUAAUACGGAGGGUGCAAGCGUUAUCCGGAUUCACUGGGUUUAAAGGGUGCGUAGGUGGCUUUGUAAGUCAGUGGUGAAAUGCCGGAGCUCAACUCCGGAACUGCCAUUGAUACUGCCUAGCUUGAAUCAAGUCGAGGUGGAUGGAAUAUUACAUGUAGCGGUGAAAUGCUUAGAUAUGUAAUAGAACACCGAUUGCGAAGGCAGUUCACUAGGCUUGUAUUGACACUGAGGCACGAAAGCGUGGGGAUCAAACAGGAUCAGAUACCCCGNUANUC